UGCAAGUCGAACGAGAAACCCGGGCUUGCCCGGGUGGACAGUGGCGAACGGGUGAGUAACACGUGAGGAACCUGCCCCGAAGACCGGGACAACAUCGGGAAACCGGUGCUAAUACCGGAUACCUUCACCGGAUCGCAUGGUCUGGUGAAGAAAUGGAUUCCGCUUCGGGAUGGCCUCGCGGCCUAUCAGCUAGUUGGUGAGGUAACGGCUCACCAAGGCGACGACGGGUAGCUGGUCUGAGAGGAUGUCCAGCCACACUGGGACUGAGACACGGCCCAGACUCCUACGGGAGGCAGCAGUUAGGAAUCUUGCGCAAUGGACGAAAGUCUGACGCAGCGACGCCGCGUGCGGGAUGAAGGCCUUCGGGUUGUAAACCGCUUUCAGCAGGGACGAAAUUGACGGUACCUGCAGAAGAAGCCCCGGCCAACUACGUGCCAGCAGCCGCGGUAAUACGUAGGGGGCAAGCGUUGUCCGGAUUUAUUGGGCGUAAAGAGCUCGUAGGUGGUUCGGUAAGUCGGAUGUGAAAUCUCCAGGCUCAACCUGGAGGGGUCAUUCGAUACUGCCGUGACUAGAGGUCGGUAGGGGAGUGUGGAAUUCCUGGUGGAGCGGUGAAAUGCGCAGAUAUCAGGAGGAACACCCGUAGCGAAGGCGGCACUCUGGGCCGAUACUGACACUGAGGAGCGAAAGCGUGGGGAGCGAACAGGAUUAGAUACCCUGGUAGUCCACGCCGUAAACGUUGGGCACUAGGUGUGGGACUCUAUCGACGGGUUCCGUGCCGUAGCUAACGCAUUAAGUGCCCCGCCUGGGGAGUACGGCCGCAAGGCUAAACUCAAAGGAAUUGACGGGGGCCCGCACAAGCGGCGGAGCAUGUGGCUUAAUUCGAGCACCCGAAGAACCUAUCCUAGCUGACAUGCACGUAUUCACUCCUGAAAGGAA
rnacentral:rRNA from 1 species